UACAGAGGGUGCGAGCGUUAAUCGGAUUUACUGGGCGUAAAGGGCGCGCAGGCGGCUCAUCAAGUCAGGCGUGAAAGCCCCGGGCUUAACCUGGGAGGUGCGUCUGGGACUGGUGGGCUAGAGUUCGGGAGAGGAGCGUGGAAUUCCCAGUGUAGAGGUGAAAUUCGUAGAUAUUGGGAAGAACACCGGUGGCGAAGGCGGCUCUCUGGACCGACACUGACGCUGAGGCGCGAAAGCGUGGGGAGCAAACAGG
rnacentral:rRNA from 1 species